rnacentral:rRNA from 1 species
UACGUAGGGGGCGAGCGUUAUCCGGAUUCACUGGGUGUAAAGGGAGCGUAGACGGACUGUCAGACCAGAUGUGAAAAUCCGGGGCUCAACCCCGGACCUGCAUUUGGGACUGAUGGACUGGAGUACCGGGUGGGCAGGCGGAAUUCCUGGUGUAGCGGUGAAAUGCGUAGAUAUCAGGAGGAACACCGGUGGCGAAGGCGGCCUGUUGGACGGAUACUGACGUUGAGGCUCGAAAGCGUGGGGAGCAAAC